ACGCUGGCGGCGUGCCUAAUACAUGCAAGUCGAACGAGAGCGACCGGUGCUUGCACUGGUCAAUCUAGUGGCGAACGGGUGAGUAACACGUGGGUAACCUGCCCAUCAGAGGGGGAUAACAUUCGGAAACGGAUGCUAAAACCGCAUAGGUCUUCGAACCGCAUGGUUUGAAGAGGAAAAGAGGCGCAAGCUUCUGCUGAUGGAUGGACCCGCGGUGCAUUAGUUAGUUGGUGAGGUAACGGCUCACCAAGGCCGUGAUGCAUAGCCGACCUGAGAGGGUGAUCGGCCACAUUGGGACUGAGACACGGCCCAAACUCCUACGGGAGGCAGCAGUAGGGAAUCUUCCGCAAUGGACGCAAGUCUGACGGAGCAACGCCGCGUGAGUGAAGAAGGUUUUCGGAUCGUAAAACUCUGUUGUUAGAGAAGAACAAGUGCUAGAGUAACUGUUAGCGCCUUGACGGUAUCUAACCAGAAAGCCACGGCUAACUACGUGCCAGCAGCCGCGGUAAUACGUAGGUGGCAAGCGUUGUCCGGAUUUAUUGGGCGUAAAGCGAGCGCAGGCGGUUCCUUAAGUCUGAUGUGAAAGCCCCCGGCUCAACCGGGGAGGGUCAUUGGAAACUGGGGAACUUGAGUGCAGAAGAGGAGAGUGGAAUUCCAUGUGUAGCGGUGAAAUGCGUAGAUAUAUGGAGGAACACCAGUGGCGAAGGCGACUCUCUGGUCUGUAACUGACGCUGAGGCUCGAAAGCGUGGGUAGCAAACAGGAUUAGAUACCCUGGUAGUCCACGCCGUAAACGAUGAGUGCUAAGUGUUGGAGGGUUUCCGCCCUUCAGUGCUGCAGUUAACGCAUUAAGCACUCCGCCUGGGGAGUACGACCGCAAGGUUGAAACUCAAAGGAAUUGACGGGGAC
rnacentral:rRNA from 1 species